rnacentral:lncRNA from 1 species
AGCUGACCAGAGACUAGAUAUUUCUUGCUCUCCAUGCACUGACUCAGAGAAGCAACCAAUAACAGCAGAAGUGACCCUUUGGGAAAUGGCACCAGGUGUCCCAGGCUGGUGCUUAAAGUGGGAAUAUUAAGGCGAUUUGCCACGAGAAGGACAUGGCCUGGUGGCUACUGCACCUUCAGCUUCCGCACACAUAAAUACAUAUGGAACACACCGGACCUAGUCUCCAGCCUGGAGCCAUGCCUACAGCAUGGCUGAAGCAUGAAGCAGGGCUAACUGGCCACAUUCAACCUCCAUCAGCUGAAGCACAAUACACCUGCAAACCUAUGAGUCUGAGAAUAAAGGCUUGUUAUUGAAAGCCACUAAGAUUUGGGGUGGUUUGUUAUCCAACAUUCUGAUGGCAACAGCAGUAAUAGAUC